rnacentral:lncRNA from 1 species
CUUUUGUUGUGCCCACUGUUUUUUGAGACUUUUUCUUGCAGUGGAUUAGCUGGUAAAUCUCUGCUUACUCAGGACCUCUUUGCAUUAACAGCCCUGCCAUCUACAAACCAGCCUGAAGAAGAUGGAUUUCUGAGGUGAACUGUCCUGCACUGAUAAGCAUCUCUGAUAAAAACCUGAUACUCACUGUGUGAUCCAGGAGAAGAGACGUGAGGAUCCAUCAGAACAUGUCCCUCCCUGACCACCACAGGGCUGCUUCCCAGAAGAUGGUGCUCUUUCCCCGAGACUGCUGAGGGAGACCUUACAUCAAUGUUGAGGCCAAGAUGUCCACCGUCUCCCCAGACUGACAGCAGCCUUAACAGAAACUCCUGCAGGGCAGUGGGUGGAAGCAUGGAGAAGUCAGACAAUAAAAAAGACUUUUGGGCAAGGUCAGUGAAUUUGAAGAACGAACCAGGGCAAUGCCAGGAGUUUGCAGUGCUCAUCUGCUGGGGACUGGUGGAAGAGAUUUUGAAUGUAGGUGAUGUCACCUCACAUAUGGUAAGUAUUUUAGAAAAAAUGGAAUAG